UAUGGCUUUUUAAACUUACAUUUUAGCCCUGGCCACAUAGCUCAGUUGGUUAGAGCAUCAUCCUGAUACGCCAAGAUUGCGAGUUUGAUCCCUGAUGAGGGCACAUACAAGAAUCAACCAAUGAAUGCAUAAAGAAGUGGAAUAACAAAUCGACAUCUCUCUCUCUCUCUCCC